CAACCCUCAAGCCUUUUUCUUUUGCUUGCUCUGGAAAAAUUCGGCUUGGUUCUGGGGCGUAUCUACAAAGUCUCCUUGGCCUUAAGUGGCCUAUCAAGGUGCUGUAGGCCCUGAAAAUUAGUGGCGGGCUCGCCGAGACCCCGAGCGCAGUAAUUUCUCUCGCUUACGGGCCGUCGCGGAGGGUUUUCCAGCCGUAAAACACCCCAAAAUACGUACUA
rnacentral:misc_RNA from 1 species